ensembl:lncRNA
CAAAUGUUUAAGAGCUGUCUGUGCAUAUUAGAUAGUGCAACCUAACAGUUUACUUAACAGAGGUCCUCAGAAAGAGUGUGUAUGUUUGUGUGUGGACAUUUUGAGUCUGCUGGGAUAUGUGCUAUGACCUUAAGGAAAUGCAGUCAGACCACCAAUACCAUCCUGAAGCCACAAGCUCCUGCUCCAUCCAAAUUCUAUCCCUACCUUCCUGUGGCCACAAACUCCUGCUCCAUCCAGAUUCUACUCCUACCGUCCUAUGGCCACAAACUCCUGCUCCAUCCAGAUUCUAUUCCUACCUUCCUGUGGCUUCAAGUGCCUGCUCCAUCCAGA